UACGGGGGGGGCAAGCGUUGUUCGGAAUUACUGGGCGUAAAGGGCUCGUAGGCGGCCAACUAAGUCAUACGUGAAAUCCCUCGGCUUAACCGGGGAACUGCGUCUGAUACUGGAUGGCUUGAGUUCGGGAGAGGAUGGUGGAAUUCCCAGUGUAGAGGUGAAAUUCGUAGAUAUUGGGAAGAACACCGAUGGCGAAGGCAGCCAUCUGGACCGACACUGACGCUGAGGCGCGAAAGCGUGGGGAGCAAACAGG
rnacentral:rRNA from 1 species